rnacentral:lncRNA from 7 species
GGUUUUACUUGAUCACAUUGUAAUUCCAUCCUAGGAACCACUCUAUAAGUUCACUUAACAGAGAGAAGUGGAGUGGUUCUUAGCAACCUUUUGCGAUGUAACUUAACCACCAAAGAGAUAUCUGGCUAAUAUGGCAGCUCUCGAGAAGUCCGUAUUUACACGUUGGAGCCCGGUACUCUUAUUCCCACGCUGCCUCCGGAAGGUAAAUCUGCUCAAAGGCGAUCUGCGUGCUGUAGCAGCUAAGAUUUGAAUCCAGACGUCAGGACUCAGUACCUUCCCUACAAAAAUCCCUUUGUGGUCCAGCCAAAGAACUAAAUGCAAGCGGGCGACCAUCUCGACCGCAGCCAGAAAGAGGGGGAAAGCGACACCAAGAAUCCAUUCCAAACGAAAAACCAAGAGGAGACGCGGCAGCUCCUAGAUGUUGAUGUUUUGUUUUUUUGACAUAAAUCUUCGCACUCAUA